rnacentral:ncRNA from 2 species
AUAUUUCUUCGGGGUUAGAUGCAAGUUCUGAUCGGUGGUAAACCCCUAGUUAAGGUCGGGGCAAGCCCACGAGUUCUGAGAUAAUCGGGACACGAUCUGGUGUAAUUCCAGGGCCGACCGUAUAGUCGGGACGAAAGAAGGAAAAA